UGGGGAAUAUUGGGCAAUGGGGCGCAAGCCUGACCCAGCAACGCCGCGUGAAGGAAGAAGGCUUUCGGGUUGUAAACUUCUUUUGUCAGGGACGAGCAGAAGACGGUACCUGACGAAUAAGCCACGGCUAACUACGUGCCAGCAGCCGCGGUAAUACGUAGGUGGCAAGCGUUGUCCGGAUUUACUGGGUGUAAAGGGAGCGCAGGCGGCGAAGCAAGCCAGAGGUGAAAACCCGGGGCUCAACCCCGAGGAUUGCCUUUGGAACUGUUUUGCUCGAGUGCUGGAGGGGCAGGCGGAAUUCCCUGGUGUAGCGGUGAAAUGCGUAGAUAUCAGGAGGAACACCGGUGGCGAAGGCGGCCUGCUGGACAGUAACUGACGCUGAGGCUCGAAAGCGUGGGGAGCAAACAGGAUUAGAACUCUGGUAGU
rnacentral:rRNA from 1 species